AUUUACAUUACCGUAAUUUUGCAGUAAAUGUAUUUGCACUGCACCCAAUAUGUUUUUGUGGAGGGAAGGUUUUAAUAACGGUAACGGAAACUGGUUACAACUUACAAAGGCCAACAUUGAAUUGGACCAAUUUGACUCAGACGGCAGUCUCCAUGUCAAUCCAUAGCCGGAAUUGGUUUUCGUUUUGGCAGAUUCUCAGGACUCCGGCCAUCUAUACGUCUUGAUUAAGGAACGCGAAAUUUGAAGACGAAGGCGGAAUGGAGCGGCAUGCUGCCUUCCUGUUGGCGACGAUGUGCCGCUGCCUCUAUCGGUCGAGAAUCGAUAUAGAUGGUCGUCGUCACGUCGUCAGAUUGGGUAGCAUAUAGCCUAUAGGGAAAUGGAAGAGAGAAUGGUAGAGUGGUCUCUGCUUUGCAAUUCGCUUGCUCCAAUGAUGUCUCCGAAUGUCGAUACAGCUGAAAAGGGUUGCUCUGUUGUUGUUAAUGAAAAGACGGUGACGUUCGAAACUCGAUUCUAUGUUGCUUUAACUAUUGAGGGUUUGUAAUCAACUCUCCGAACUUCUAGAGCUACUCGUCCUGAAGAAUUUUCCAAUCAAUUUAAGUCUCGUCAUUCGAAGAGUACCGCUCACACAGAUAAACGUGGGUCUCUCAGUAUUUUGUGGGUGUGGGUCUGAAUUGAACAAACCAUGGAUAACACUGUUGACGUGAAUUCUGGAUGCAGAAAGUAGCAAACAAGUUUGGAGUUGUGAUACCAGUUGAAGAGGCAAAUAAUGCACAUUACAAUUCAGUAGCAGUAAGCAAUUGAUGUUGAUAGGACAGAUAUUGGCCUGUGCAGGAAGUCCCAUGUUCCAGAUGGGCCAGGCAAGUGUUUGAACUUUCAGGAUUCUCAUAUGCAGUUAAAAUAUUAUUUUAUUUGCAUGCAGUUCAAUUAUUUUUCCUCUUCUGGCUACCAGGAAAAUUUCUACUUUAAUCCUGGUGAUGCAAGGUUUAAGGUACAUUGAUCUUUGAUAGACUUGAUUUAGCUGGUGAUUUUGUCCCGUGAAACUUAUUGCAAGUUUGCAACCAUGUUUGCUGCAAAAACAGGUCAUUGGAACUAAGUUCACCAAACCUGGAAUUAGUAAGCAAGAAAUUUUAUCUGAGAAGCAGCAUUAAUAGAAUUCAAAAGCUGAUAUAAAGGAAAUCCAAGUACUGAUGGGUGGACUCUACGAAUUAUCAAGGGCCUUGUGUUAUACAUGCAUAGUUUUUUUUUUUUUUUUUUAAGCAAGAAAUUUUAUCUGAGAAGCAGCAUUAAUAGAAUUCAAAAGCUGAUAUAAAGGAAAUCCAAGUACUGAUGGGUGGACUCUACGAAUUAUCAAGGGCCCUGUGUUAUACAUGCAUAGUUUUUUUUUUUUUUAUAUAUAUAUCAAUAUACAUGCAUAGUUUAGUUUUUAAAGGUUUAAGCCUUAAAUCAACGCACCGGGGUUAAGCUUGAACUACACAUUCUGAAGCUCAUGCCUGGGGCUGAGGCAUACACUGCUGUCUCUUGCCUUGAGGCUUUUCAUGGGCAUAGGCCUCUCCAGUCCAAAUGUUAAUUCUGCUCUAUAUUUUUAUUUUUGAUUUCUAAUGUGUAAAAUGUUCAGAAAUAUGUUAGUGUCCUACCAUGGUAAUGAAAAAAAAAAAAAUAGAGAGAAAUAGAGAAAUGGUAUCUUCUUUAUCUCAACGAGGGCUCUAUUUGGAGAGUGGCCAUGAAACCCUAAAUCAAUGUGCUCAUUACUCUUAAAAAAAUAUUCAUGACAUCCAAUUCUACAAGUUGAUGAGUUCUUAUUAUAAAGUUGAACUGAAAAAAAAUGCAACUUCAUUGGAGGAUCUAUGAUUAGUUUCUAUUUUUUUCUUCCCUUCUAUUGAACUUCUAUUGGAUGUAAUUACUUUACAGACACACACAAAUGCUAGUCGAGUGGCACAUGCAUUUGCACAUGUAAGAGGAGAGAGAAAAUUAAAUGAACUAAAGGAGAUGAGUUAAAUAUUGACCUUAUACUAUAAAAUAAUCCGAUUUAACUUUUAUGACCUGCACAGAACCCAAGGCAAGUAUUGGCAUUAUAUAGUAUAGAUGUGUGUGUGUGUGUGACCCUUAACUCCCUUGCUAAAUACAAUAUUUCCCUUAGCUGUUGCCUGAAAGGCCAAGACCCUAAACUUCUUGCUUGCAUCAAACUGAUUACCACCUUGGAGUCACCUUCCACUUCUAACUGUUGCAUACUCCACUGCUUAGCUAGUCUCAGCCCUUGUAGUAGGGCCUAUUUCUGUCCUUAGUGAGUCCCCCACCCUAAUUGGACCCAAUAUGAGGGCCAGCACCUUUCUUCCUCAUAUCUGAAGACUCCCCCAAUGCCUGAAGGACCUGGAUUGCCUAGAGAACUACCAUCAAACUAUCAAAGUUCAGCUUUACUCUAGCCUGCAGAGAAGGGAACCAACUCUCCUGCACAGUAUGAGAAUGGGUGGAAGAAGAAGCUAUGACACUUCAUCCUCUAAGCAAAUCAUCAUAAGAGAAGUCCUUGAAUAGUUGUAGAAUUUUCAGCCAAUGUAAAUCUUUGAUGGUAAUACCCUCAACAAGUGCUUCCUUGGAUUUUUCUUGCCCUUGGAGGAUCCUGUUGUUUCUUUUUUCCCAAAUCGACCAAAGAAUGGCUGAUCUUGUUAAUCUCCACAUCACCCUACCCCUUUUGUUUGGUUGACGGAAGAAACUGGGGUAAAAAAAAGUUUAGCACACACAAGGGGGAAUUCCAGCUGCACCUAAAAGAGAGAGGAGAACCAAUCCCAAAGGUAAGAAACAAAGGGACAGGAUAAAAAUAGAACAAUUGAAAGAUAAGUUCAUGGUAGAAGGAAAAUGAAAUUUAGAUGACUAUAUGAUAUGUGGCUUAGAAUAGACAAUGAUAUUAAAAAACUUGCACCAAAGGUUUUAGGAAAAUCUAAAGGAAUUUGAUAAAGCACUAAAAAAAGUUGGUGGUAGAAUGAAGAGAUUCAAAAUAUACUCAACUUGAAACAGAUGUGUUAUAAUAAUGAAUAAAAGAUAAAGUGCUAAGUGUCAUCUAGGGAACCAGAUCUGCUCUAGGUUCAAUGGUUUAAAUAUGAAGAGAUACUGAAGAGAGCAAAACAACAAUAUAGGGAUGUCAGGAAAAACCAACCCCAUCCCCAAAGGAAUCAAAUAUACUAUAGUGAUGAAUUACAAGUUCCUAAGAGGGACCUAGUGGAAAAUAUGCUACAAUGGGAGCAAAUUAAGAGGGGGAGAGGGAUGUGUGUGUGUGUGUGAGAGAGAGAGAGAGAGAUCAGUGUGAAACCCAAUGCAAGCUGUGGUGUUCCUGUUUCAAGUUAAAUCGGCUCUACCAAUGGCAUAUUUUGAAUGCUAAAGUUGAAUCACCUAUGUGAAGUUUAUGUGAGCAGAAACGAAAGUGCAACACAAUGUACUAGACACCCUCCUAAUUAGCUAUAUUUAUUAAUGAUUAGAGGUUCUUAGUUAAGCAGUAUGGAAUCAUGUCAUCUCAGAAAAGAUCAUAGAGGGCUGAUUGUAUGUAAUCCUCUGAUAGUUUUCAAUCUGCUGUUGACCCGACUGGUCAAACCAUUCGAACUGUCACCUAGUCAAGAUUCCGUGUCUGGUUCAAUCAAGACCCAUCAGACAGUCAAAAACCAUUUGACCUGGUCAGUUUAACCGUUGACCCGUUCGACCUGAUCACUGGGUCGCGGGUUGCACACUUAAUGUAUGCAAACUUUCGGAGGCCAUAACUUUGCACUCCAAUGUCCAAUUAGAGUGAUUUUUUUUUAUAUUUUGGGUAACUUUUAGAGAUCUAUGUGUUGCAAGGUGUUGUAAGCGCCUUGCCCCGCUAUUUUCACAAAAAAAAAAAACUUU